CACAAGUAGAGUGAUCGAAAGAUGAAAAGCACUUUGGAAAGAGAGUCAAAAAGUACGUGAAAUUGUUGAAAGGGAAGCGCUURCAACCAGACCUGUCCGUAGGUGAUCAGCCGCCGUUCUCGGUGGUGCACUCGCYUGCGAUCAGGCCAGCAUCGGUUCGGGCGGUCGGAUAAAGRCCCUGGGAAUGUAGCUCCUCUCGGGGAGUSUUAUAGCCCUCGGUGCAAUGCGGCCAGCCCGGACCGAGGACCGCGCUUCGGCUAGGAUGCUGGCGUAAUGGUUGUAAGCGACCCGUCUUGAAACACGGACCAAGGAGUCUAACAUCUAUGCGAGUGUUUGGGUGUYAAACCCAUACGCGGAAUGAAAGUGAACGGAGGUGAGAACCCUUUAGGGCGCAUCAUCGACCGAUCCAGAUGUCUUCGGAUGGAUUUGAGUAUGAGCAUAGCUGUUGGGACCCGAAAGAUGGUGAACUAUGCCUGAAUAGGGUGAAGCCAGAGGAAACUCUGGUGGAGGCUCGCAGCGGUUCUGACGUGCAAAUCGAUCGUCAAAUUUGGGUAUAGGGGCGAAAGACUAAUCGAAYCAUYUAGUAGCUGGUUCCUGCCGAAGUUUCCCUCAGGAUAGCAGUAACGUUUUCAGUUUUAKGAGGUAAAGCGAAUGAUUAGAGGCCUUG
rnacentral:rRNA from 1 species